rnacentral:tRNA from 1 species
GGCCUCGUAGCUCAGUUGGCUAGAGCGUUGGCUGUACUAAAGCCUUCCUCUAACUGGCGUGGGUUCGAAUCCCACCGAGGCCG